rnacentral:rRNA from 1 species
AUUGAACGCUGGCGGCAGGCCUAACACAUGCAAGUCGAGCGGAUGAAGGGAGCUUGCUCCUGUAUUCAGCGGCGGACGGGUGAGUAAUGCCUAGGAAUCUGCCUGGUAGUGGGGGAUAACGUCCGUAAACGGGCGCUAAUACCGCAUACGUCCUGAGUGAGAAAGUGGGGGAUCUUCGGACCUCACGCUAUCAGAUGUGCCUAGGUCGGAUUAGCUAGUUGGUGGGGUAAAGGCCUACCAAGGCGACGAUCCGUAACUGGUCUGAGAGGAUGAUCAGUCACACUGGAACUGAGACACGGACCAGACGCCUACGGGAGGCAGCAGUGGGGAAUAUUGGACAAUGGGCGAAAGCCUGAUCCAGCCAUGCCGCGUGUGUGAAGAAGGUCUUCGGAUUGUAAAGCACUUUAAGUUGGGAGGAAGGGCAGUAAGUUAAUACCUUGCUGGUUUGACGUUACCAACAGAAUAAGCACCGGCUAACUUCGUG